CAGCUAGUUGGUGGGGUAAGAGCCUACCAAGGCAGAGAUCGGUAGCCGGCCUGAGAGGGCACACGGCCACACUGGCACUGAAACACGGGCCAGACUCCUACGGGAGGCAGCAGUGGGGAAUCUUGCACAAUGGGGGCAACCCUGAUGCAGCGACGCCGCGUGAGCGAUGAAGCCCUUCGGGGUGUAAAGCUCUUUCGGCAGGGAAGAUAGUGACGGUACCUGCAGAAGCAGCUGCGGCUAACUACGUGCCAGCAGCCGCGGUAAUACGUAGGCAGCAAGCGUUGUUCGGAGUUACUGGGCGUAAAGGGUGUGUAGGCGGUUCUUUAAGUUUGGUGUGAAAUCUCCCGGCUUAACCGGGAGGGUGCGCCGAAUACUGAGGGACUAGAGUACGGGAGAGGAAAGUGGAAUUCCUGGUGUAGCGGUGAAAUGCGUAAAUAUCAGG
rnacentral:rRNA from 1 species